GAUGAACGCUCGCUACAGGCUUAACACAUGCAAGUCGAGGGGAAACGACAUCGAAAGCUUGCUUUUGAUGGGCGUCGACCGGCGCACGGGUGAGUAACGCGUAUCCAACCUGCCCAUCACUUGGGGAUAACCUUGCGAAAGUAAGACUAAUACCCAAUGAUAUCUCUAGAAGACAUCUGAAAGAGAUUAAAGAUUUAUCGGUGAUGGAUGGGGAUGCGUCUGAUUAGCUUGUUGGCGGGGUAACGGCCCACCAAGGCAACGAUCAGUAGGGGUUCUGAGAGGAAGGUCCCCCACAUUGGAACUGAGACACGGUCCAAACUCCUACGGGAGGCAGCAGUGAGGAAUAUUGGUCAAUGGGCGAGAGCCUGAACCAGCCAAGUAGCGUGCAGGAAGACGGCCCUAUGGGUUGUAAACUGCUUUUAUAAGGGAAUAAAGUGAGAGUCGUGACUCUUUUUGUAUGUACCUUAUGAAUAAGAACCGGCUAAUUCCGUG
rnacentral:rRNA from 1 species